CGCACCACGAGGCGCUGUC
rnacentral:sRNA from 1 species